GGGGUUAUGGUCCAACCAGGUACGACAGCUGGCUCCAGACCAGCUAAUGGGAGUUCGAAUCUCCCUGACCCCA
rnacentral:tRNA from 1 species